AAUCCAACGUAUCCGCCGCACCUCUUCCGGAGAAGGUACCGAAUGCGCCGAUCUCUCUUUGUGAAAAUUGUUCAAGCUUGCGAGGUAAAUUGUCGGUAUUUUACUCAAAGAAGAAAUGUUGCGGGCUUGAAGAGAUUUAGUGCAUAUCAAAAAAUCUCGGCAGCUAUGGUUGUCCUAUUGUUUCAGUGA
rnacentral:rRNA from 1 species